UCCCAGACUCCUACGGGAGGCAGCAGUGGGGAAUAUUGCACAAUGGGGGAAACCCUGAUGCAGCGACGCCGCGUGAGUGUAGAAGUAUUUCGGUAUGUAAAGCUCUAUCAGCAGGGAAGAAGAAAGACGGUACCUGACUAAGAAGCCCCGGCUAACUACGUGCCAGCAGCCGCGGUAAUACGUAGGGGGCAAGCGUUGUCCGGAUUUACUGGGUGUAAAGGGAGCGUGGACGGCGGCGCAAGCCAGAUGUGAAAGCCCGGGGCUCAACUCCGGGACUGCAUUUGGAACUGUGCGGCUGGAGUGUCGGAGAGGCAGGCGGAAUUCCUAGUGUAGCGGUGAAAUGCGUAGAUAUUAGGAGGAACACCAGUGGCGAAGGCGGCCUGCUGGGCUUUUACUGACGCUGAGGCUCGAAAGUGUGGGGAGCAAACAGGAUUAGAUACCCCUGUA
rnacentral:rRNA from 1 species